AUUGAACGCUGGCGGCAGGCUUAACACAUGCAAGUCGAGCGGGGUGAUGGUGCUUGCACUAUCACUUAGCGGCGGACGGGUGAGUAAUGCUUAGGAAUCUGCCUAUUAGUGGGGGACAACAUCUCGAAAGGGAUGCUAAUACCGCAUACGUCCUACGGGAGGAAGCAGGGGAUCACUUGUGACCUUGCGCUAAUAGAUGAGCCUAAGUCGGAUUAGCUAGUUGGUGGGGUAGAGGCCUACCAAGGAGACGAUCUGUAGCGGGUCUGAGAGGAUGAUCCGCCACACUGGGACUGAGACACGGCCCAGACUCCUACGGGAGGCAGCAGUGGGGAAUAUUGGACAUGGGGGGAACCCUGAUCCAGCCAUGCCGCGUGUGUGAAGAAGGCCUUAUGGUUGUAAAGCACUUUAAGCGAGGAGGAGGCUCUUUUGGUUAAUACCCAAGAUGAGUGGACGUUACUCGCAGAAUAAGCACCGGCUAACUCUGUGCCAGCAGCCGCAGUAA
rnacentral:rRNA from 1 species